CUGUAUGACGACAACGAGUGGAAGUAUGAGGUGAAAGAGCCCGGAGGAACCACAAACGAUGGCCGCCAACACGGAGGCCGGGCUUUCAAGGUCUCCCUAACACGGUGUGAUUGCAGCUGCAUGAGGCCGUCUUUGCUUCACCUCCCAUGCUCGCACUUGUUAAAUGCAUCUAGGGUUAGGAAUGUGGACGUCAAUCACCCUCUUACCGUGAGGGAGUCCGAGUUCUCAAUCAUGACGGUAAAGAAUACAUGGACUCCAUGGUUUCAGCCAUACUUGGACCAAUCACAAUGGCCGGAGUAUCAUGGAGUUCAACUAUGGCCGGACCCG
rnacentral:rRNA from 1 species